AGGCAAACUUUUUUGUUUUUUUUCUAGCCUCCAAAAUUUUUCUCCUAAUGUCAUCAGGUAACCUUAACUCCAUGUGAAAGUCUCAUACCAUUCCCAAUCUAUUUGCUAUAUUUAAUUAAUUUACCUCGUUUAAUUGAAUUUUCAGGGAUAACUCAAAUUUAAACUAAAAAAAUAAAUGGAAAAAUGGUAUUCAUGUUAUUUCAAAUCGAAUAAAGUUCAAAUAUAGGGAGUUAUAUCAAAUUUCAAACAUGUUGCUCAUGAAGCAUGAGCACGAUGUUAUGGCCUAGUCAUUUUAAAAUUCUAU
rnacentral:lncRNA from 1 species